rnacentral:lncRNA from 1 species
GAACACGGUUUUCGUUAUUCUCAGGUAACUUCUAAUCAUUCUCAAUAUUUCAGUUCAAUCAUCAUCUGAGGUUUCCCCAGACCGCCUUAUUAGAUGUUAUUACCUGAUCAUCCAUCCUUAUAAUGAUGGCAGUUUUACACGUUCCAUGUUGUUGGCCAUCUUUCCCGCUGUAUGUUGUAAUAAUGUCCUGAGACUACAACAUAAGAAAUCUUGUCUAACAUACUGGAGAAUUGGAGGCCAUCAGUCAGCAAAAGCACCAACUGCCAGACAUAUGAAUAAAGCCAUUUUCGUCCUUCCAGUUGAGUG